CGCGUAGGUGGGAAUAAAAGUCGGGACGUGAAAUCCCCAGGGGCUCAACCCUGGAACUGCAUCUGAAACUCUAUUUCUUGAGGGUAGUCGGAGAAAACGGAAUUCCACAAGUAGCGGUGAAAUGCGUAGAUAUGUGGAAGAACACCGGUGGCGAAGGCGGUUUUCUAGAUUAUUCCUGACACUAAAGCGCGAAAGCAAGGGGAUCAAACA
rnacentral:rRNA from 1 species